UCUCCCCACUCCUCUCUCUCUCUCUCUCUCUCUCUCUCUCCACUCUUCGUCCUCCUUUCUCAGGCCGCCUCUCCUUCGUGGUCUCUGCUUCUCUGAUGAAAUAUAAGCUUUAGAAAAUUCUCGAAAAUUCUCAAAAAGCCCCAAAAGUCUUCGCUUUUCUUCCAUUCCCCCCCUCUCCCUGUCUCCCUGCCUCUCUCUGGGCAGUCAAAAUCGAGGCUUGUUGCAGCUCCAGCUCAAUGGAACGGGUCGUCGGCCGUAAGUACAAGCUCAGCCGCAAGAUCGGCAGCGGAUCCUUCGGUGAAAUCUUUCUGGCUACACAUGUCGACACCUUUGAGAUCGUCGCCGUGAAGAUUGAGAAUAGCAAGACAAAACAUCCACAACUGCUUUAUGAGGCCAAAUUAUACAACAUACUUCAAGGAGGGAGUGGAAUUCCCAGCAUAAAAUGGUCCGGCAUUGAUGGGGAAGAUAAUAUACUUGUCCUUGAGCUGCUUGGACCAAGUCUUGAAGAUUUGUUUGUGUAUUGCGGGAGGAAGUUUUCAUUGAAAACAGUAUUAAUGUUAGCUGAUCAAAUGCUGACAAGAAUUGAAUAUGUGCACUCAAAAGGAUUUCUGCAUAGAGAUAUCAAACCUGAUAAUUUUCUCAUGGGUCUUGGUCGAAAAGCGAAUCAGGUUUAUAUUAUUGAUUUUGGGCUUGCAAAAAGAUAUCGUGACUCUGUCACAAACCGCCAUAUUCCUUACAGGGAGAAUAAAAACUUGACUGGCACCGCACGUUAUGCAAGCUGCAAUACUCAUCUCGGGAUUGAACAAAGCCGGAGAGAUGAUUUGGAGUCUUUGGGCUAUGUACUACUUUAUUUUUUGAGAGGAAGCCUCCCAUGGCAAGGGCUGAAGGCUGCUACAAAGAAACAAAAGUAUGACAAAAUAUGUGAAAAGAAGCUAUCAACUCCUAUUGAGGUUCUUUGCAAGUCCCAUCCAGUGGAGUUCGCCUCAUAUUUCCAUUAUUGCCAUUCCUUGACAUUUGAUCAACGGCCAGAUUAUGGAUUUCUAAAGCGUCUGUUCCGUGAACUAUUUACUCGUCAAGGAUAUCAAUUCGACUGUGCUUUUGAUUGGUCUAUACUAAAGUAUCAGCAAGCACAAAAGAGCAGACGUCACCGAUUGUCUCCAACUCCUGGAGAGAGUAGCAGUCGUCCAAUACCAAUGGAAAUGGACAAUCGUCAAGGAGUUGUUAAUGCAUCUUAUCCAACUGAGGUGGCAGAUCGUGUGAGGUCAAGUAAUGCUGCUGGUCCUGGUUUUUCGAUGAAGUUGAAAGCCGUGGCAGACAAGAACCCAAGUCCAGAUUAUACCCUUGACAAGAAUGUCACUGGUGCUAUGCCAUCUACUUCAUUCGUGCUUGGUGGCACAAAUAGAAGUUCUAUGAAAGCUCAACCCCCUACUGAAGGUGGAAACCCUGGACAUGGGUCUGGCAGCAGAAACGGUCCUUCUAGCAGCUGGAUAUCUUCGCUCCAGCGAAUUUCAUCUGCGAAAUAGAUCAUCUGCUGAUCAUUUGGGUUGAGGAGAUUCCUUCUGCGAAUUGGUUUGAUGACUGCUAGCAGAAGAUAUUUGGAUGCGUGUAUGGAGGCUUUGACAUGGAUUAUCUAUCGGUACUACAAGACAACAUGCCGUUCGUUUGAUGGAUCAAGAUCCUGCGUGUUUCCUGUAACUGUUUUUCCAAAGUGAGGACAAACAGAUGAGGGAUGCCAUCUGAAGGGCCAAUUCUUCAACCUGAUAUUGCCUUUCAAAAGGUCUUCAGCAGCAGACAAGAUUGGAGGAGUUUGAUGUUCUAAUUGAGCUCUCAGGUCAAGUUUCAUUACUCAAAAUUUCUUGUACUCUGUGUAGUGUUGACAUCUACUGCAGUGGGAACUUCCUUGUGUACGAUCAAAGUUAAAAAUCUCCCACACCCGAUUCCCGUGAAGGCAAGUUCUAAACAGCUGUGUUCGGUGAGGUAAAAAGGAUGGGUUCGUUUGGUCAUUGUUAUGGUUAUUUUUUGGAAAUCUUACCACACAAGUGAGGUUCUUUCUUGCUUUGAGCUUGAGCAGCAUAGGUUCUUUCCGGGUUCACUUGACAUAACUCCCUUAUGCUCAAAAUUUCUUUCCUGAUUCGAAUACGAAUUGUUACUAAUUUGAUAAGAGUCAUGUAAUGGUUAAUUGGCUCUUGAUGAUUCUUCACCA